AUGACUUCUGUGCUACUUUAAGCACUCCACAGAAGGUUGACAAAAUUUUAGGCACCUCCCAUUCAUGCGGUAUCUUCCACAGGGCGGAUAAAAAACCACAAUUUAUAUUGGGUAACCCCGUAGGGGGUGUUAAUGGCUUUUCAUCAGAAUAUAGGUCUUGGCAAUCUUAGGAGUUGUCUUUGUCCAGUGUUUCACCGACCGCACUUACGACUACGUCACUAAGGAACCAUGACACCAAGCUCAAAUGUGUUCUUUUGUGGGAUUGUGAACCGAAGCAGUUGAUACAACACUCACUAAUUCAGCCGACACUUCCGUUGAAGUACACUGUGCUUGUGCAACUUCAACGUUAUGGGCACGAAACACGAAGCUGGAACCUGGUCGUUGGCCUCGAGAAAACCGGUGUUGUCUGACGAGCACUACUCCACUGAAAUGACAUCCUGUCCUGGCUUGCACGAGUCCACUAGAUCGUCUUCCAGGAUCACCCACAUGUGGCCAGAUGAACACGAGAUGCUAGGCAGCUGUGCCGAGUGCAUAGGUUUCUCCCGCGUCCUUAUUGGAGGCUGAAUUUGCACUUUGAAAAGUUUGAUUUUGCGGUUUUUGAGGUUUUGCCCCAAGUGAAGAUGACGCAAACCAGGGAUAGAGAUAAUCUUUAGCAGGUGUAGCAUUAGAACACAAGGAUCUAAGCACACAGGAUAAAACAGUCACCUUUUGCGGUUGGUGUGAACCUUGUUCCAUUGCAACCAGCUUCACUGGGGCACAGCGUAGGCAUAGAAUAAGAGUAGUACAUCUGAACAUUUGCUUCGAUCAUGAAUGUGUACCCGCACUUGCUGCACAUGUGCUCCUUUUGGUAUUCAAGAACUUUCAUGGUGGUAGCACGAAGUACAGUACCUAACGAUGGAGAAAAUACUAUUAAAAGCCCCUUCUCAUGCCCCUUCGAUCUAAGCAUAGAUGCUUAAGCAUCACA